rnacentral:rRNA from 1 species
AUGCCCAGAGAUCUUAGCCAAUGGAUAAUGAAGCAUUACGACCCUGAGAUUUCGCAGAUAGUCAUUCCAGAAAGGGGGAAGAUUCCUGUAGAUGCCAGAAGUGUCUGUAGGAUAUGGGGUUUGCCAAAUAGGGGCAGGAAGGUGUGUUUUGAGAAUCGACCUGAAAUCACAAAGGCAAUGUACAGUAUUUACAAUAUCACCUACAAGAACUCCCCAACUCUCACAGCAUGGUGCAAGAUGAUCAAAGAUAUGGGAGGAUCUCAUGAUGAUGACUUUGUCCGCGCUUGGCUAGCUCUUGUUUUUUCAUGCUUCCUUGCCCCUUCAACUAGUUUAAGUAUUUCCCCAAAAAAGCUUCCCGAUGGUGCAUGUCAAUGGAAUAAUGGAAACCCAUUAUGCCAGUUUGUUGUUGAUCAACUAAAGCUUGCAUUCACUUCAGGACGUGGCAAUAAGAAGGCUGUUUGUUGCUGUGUUUUCCACCUCGUUGUAAGUGCUUCAAGCUGUUUUGCUUUUUUAAGCAUCCAUUGUUUUAUUUAUUUUUCUAUUUUUGCAAAUCAUUGGCUAACUUAA